GACAGAGGGUGCAAACGUUGCUCGGAUUUACUGGGCGUAAAGGGCGCGUAGGCGGUCAGCACAAGUCAGUUGUGAAAUCUCCGGGCUUAACUCGGAAAGGUCAACUGAUACUGUGCGACUAGAGUGCGGAAGGGGCAACUGGAAUUCUCGGUGUAGCGGUGAAAUGCGUAGAUAUCGAGAGGAACACCUGCGGCGAAGGCGGGUUGCUGGGCCGACACUGACGCUGAUGCGCGAAAGCCAGGGGAGCGAACGGG
rnacentral:rRNA from 1 species